rnacentral:rRNA from 1 species
ACACGGGGGGUGCUAAUACAUGCAGUCGAGCGAACAGAUAAGGAGCUUGCUCCUUUGAAGUUAGCGGCGGACGGGUGAGUAACACGUGGGUAACCUACCUAUAAGACUGGAAUAACUUCGGGAAACCGGAGCUAAUGCCGGAUAACAUAUAGAACCGCAUGGUUCUAUAGUGAAAGAUGGUUUUGCUAUCACUUAUAGAUGGACCCGCGCCGUAUUAGCUAGUUGGUAAGGUAAUGGCUUACCAAGGCGACGAUACGUAGCCGACCUGAGAGGGUGAUCGGCCACACUGGAACUGAGACACGGUCCAGACUCCUACGGGAGGCAGCAGUAGGGAAUCUUCCGCAAUGGGCGAAAGCCUGACGGAGCAACGCCGCGUGAGUGAUGAAGGUUUUCGGAUCGUAAAACUCUGUUAUUAGGGAAGAACAAAUGCGUAAGUAACUGUGCGCAUCUUGACGGUACCUAAUCAGAAAGCCACGGCUAACUACGUGCCAGCAGCCGCGGUAAUACGUAGGUGGCAAGCGUUAUCCGGAAUUAUUGGGCGUAAAGCGCGCGUAGGCGGUUUCUUAAGUCUGAUGUGAAAGCCCACGGCUCAACCGUGGAGGGUCAUUGGAAACUGGGAAACUUGAGUGCAGAAGAGGAAAGUGGAAUUCCAUGUGUAGCGGUGAAAUGCGCAGAGAUAUGGAGGAACACCAGUGGCGAAGGCGACUUUCUGGUCUGUAACUGACGCUGAUGUGCGAAAGCGUGGGGAUCAAACAGGAUUAGAUACCCUGGUAGUCCACGCCGUAAACGAUGAGUGCUAAGUGUUAGGGGGGUUUCCGCCCCUUAGUGCUGCAGCUAACGCAUUAAAGCACUCCGCCUGGGGGAGUACGACCGCAAGGUUGAAACUCAAAAGGAAUUGACGGGGACCCGCACAAGCGGUGGAGCAUGUGGUUUAAUUCGAAGCAACGCGAAGAACCCUUACCCAAUCUUGACAUCCUUUGAAAACUCUAGAGAUAGAGCCUUCCCCUUCGGGGGACAAAGUGACAGUGUGCAUGUUGUCGUCAGCUCGUGUCGUGAGAUGUGGGUAAGUCCGCACGAGCGCAACCUUAAGCUUAGUUGCCAUCAUUAGUGGGCCACCUCUAGGUUGACUGCCCGGUGACA